GCCAGGCAAGAUGGCUGAUGCCUGUAAUCCCAGCACUUUGGGAGGCUGAGGUGGGAGGAUCCCUUGAGCCCAGGAGUUCAAGACUAGCCUGGGCAACAUAGGGAGACCCUGUCUCUU
ensembl:misc_RNA Metazoa_SRP Metazoan signal recognition particle RNA